rnacentral:tRNA from 2 species
CAGGGCAUAAUUUAAGUAGAAUACCGGCUUUGGGGGUCGGUAGUAAAGGUUAAAAUCCUUUUGCCCUGA